rnacentral:rRNA from 1 species
GACGAACGCUGGCGGCGUGCCUAAUACAUGCAAGUUGAGCGCUGAAGACUGGUACUUGUACCGGUUGGAUGAGCAGCGAACGGGUGAGUAACGCGUGGGCAACCUGCCCUAUUGAGGGGGAUAACUAGAGGAAACUUUAGCUAAUACCGCAUAAAAUCUAAUAACACAUGUUAUAAGAUUGAAAGUGCCAAAUGGUACACUAUAGGAUGGACCCGCGUUGUAUUAGCUAGUUGGUGAGGUAAUAGCUCACCAAGGCGAUGAUACAUAGCCGACCUGAGAGGGUGAUCGGCCACACUGGGACUGAGACACGGCCCAGACUCCUACGGGAGGCAGCAGUAGGGAAUCUUCGGCAAUGGACGAAAGUCUGACCGAGCAACGCCGCGUGAGUGAAGAAGGUUUUCGGAUCGUAAAACUCUGUUGUAAGAGAAGAACACCAGUAAGAGUGGAAAGCUUACUGGCUGACGGUAUCUUACCAGAAAGCCACGGCUAACUACGUGCCAGCCGCCGCGGUAAAAC